UUAAAAAUCGAUGUGCGGUACUCUUUGC
rnacentral:sRNA from 1 species